rnacentral:lncRNA from 1 species
UUUUGAGGCCACCGAAAGUAAAAGGGCCCGCUUUGGGCCUGGCCAGCGGCAGAGGCCAACUCGGGCCAAUGCUGCCACCUGCCGUGGGCGCGGAGAACAGGGCGCGCCGCCUCGGCCUUCCUGUUUUGUUCGACCCUCUGCACCCAUGCAAGGAAGGUUCUUCGCCAGCCAGACCAGGGCUAUUUUAAAAGACCAGCGCCUAUCCCCAGCCAUUAAGGUAAAGAUAGCCAGUCUGGCUGCUCACUGUCUUCUCAGAAAAAGGACCACUUCCCAGUUAUAGUCCCAGGCCUGCCUAGCAGGACACUCGGACUAGUCGGAGCUCCAUUAAGCACAUAACCCCUAUACUCAAAAGAGAUCGUGUCACUGGUUCACUUAGAGGAAAGCUCGUUUUAGAAAGAAUGUUUUAUUUUGCGGGGGAUGAAGGAAAUGCACAACUCUGGGUUCUGUCGGCACAUUGCUGAACUGCAAGUCACGUGCCAGAUCCAGAAAUGAUGAAAACAUCUGUUUUUGCUUUAGCCCAGCGAGGCCCCGACAGUGGGGAGGGGAGGGACCGGACCGAGAUCGCUUUGCUCACGAGCGCCAUCUGCCGAGCCUGCGCGGGAAAUGCGUGAAUAUCCGGCACAAUGCAGGUUACUCACCCCCAGGAAGGGACAGAUCCACAGGUGGGGGUCUGUACCCGAGAGACCACUAUCUUCAGAGAACAGCCCUGGCUGUGACCCGGGAACUUUGCAACUCUGAAUUGUCUCGAAGAGUACUCAACAAAGAGAUCUGUCCCUGGAGACUGCUCUAGGCAGAGGAAGAGGCCGAGGGAGGCAGCGAAUGAAUUCCCAGUUCAUGUAUGAAGAGUAUUCUCAGAUGAGUUUGGAAUGCCUUUUAAAGAAGAGCAAGCCCCCAGAAGUCUACCAGCUCCUAUUCAAGCCAUGUGAAGACAGGAAACAGCUGCCUGUACCAGUAUUUCCAGAACUAUGUCAAAGAAGAGGCAGGAGAAAAAAAAGUCCUACUAUAGGGUUCAGAGAAAGAAGCAAAAAGCAAUUUGAUAAUUUUUAUUUUAGAGCCUGUGUUGCUUGGGAGCUGUAGACUUCCAGGCGUGAAGACUAAGGGACAUACCAUAAAUCCUUAGGGAGGGAGGCAGAGGUCUAGGGUAUAAAUCCAGUAGUAGAGUGCUACCUUAGCAUGCACAAGACUCUGUGUUCAAUCCCUAGGACCAAAAGGUGGGGAAGGGCUGAGCAAUCCUGGGAAAUAACCUUAAAAGGUUGGCUACUCUUUGUAUACUCUAUAAAUCAAGAUGAUUGUCUAGUUUUGUACAUUUUGCUGAGGUUAUUAAAUUAGCUUUCCAUUCCUGAGCACAAUAUAUAGGAUUGUAUUGGGGCACUGGGGCCCUUGAACUUAGCCCUCUUUCCUGUUGAGAAAGACCCCAUACAAUAAAAUGGCUGAUGGGAAAAGGCA